rnacentral:rRNA from 1 species
AACGAACGCUGGCGGCAUGCCUAACACAUGCCAGUCGAACGAGACCUUCGGGUCUAGUGGCGCACGGGUGCGUAACGCGUGGGAACCUGCCCUUAGGUUCGGAAUAACUCCCCGAAAGGGGUGCUAAUACCGGAUAAUGUCUUCGGACCAAAGAUUUAUCGCCUUUGGAUGGGCCCGCGUUGGAUUAGCUAGUUGGUAGGGUAAAAGCCUACCAAGGCGACGAUCCAUAGCUGGUCUGAGAGGAUGAUCAGCCACACUGGGACUGAGACACGGCCCAGACUCCUACGGGAGGCAGCAGUGGGGAAUAUUGGACAAUGGGCGAAAGCCUGAUCCAGCAAUGCCGCGUGAGUGAUGAAGGCCUUAGGGUUGUAAAGCUCUUUUACCCGGGAUGAUAAUGACAGUACCGUGAGAAUAAGCGCCGGCUAACUCCGUG